rnacentral:tRNA from 2 species
GGGACAUUAGCUCAGUUGGUAGAGCACCCGACUUUUAAUUGGAUGGUCGUGCGUUCGAGUCGCACAUGUCCCACCA